GUCACGUUAGGAAACCGAGCCGAGCAGAUUCAGGAGUCUUCGGAUGACUUAUUCCUGACAGAGACUGUGUACAGGGCUGCUGUAAACCACACUGCUAAACAUUUCACAGUUUCAAACAUAAACAGGCUAAAUGGAUCUAAGUUUACUUUGUGUUGCAGUGUUUCCUAAUGUAAACAGCUGACAGGAAGUUAACUCUGACCAGAACAGUUUCCUGGCAGUGCAGUUCUGAUGAAACGGUCUGUUGAAUGUGGUAAUGACUGUUUGGAUCGGCUGUGGAUGGAGCGUACAAGCAUUAGGCAUGAGACGGCAGGGCCGUGUGCACACAGAAACACAGAGAGAGAAAUGUCGAAGUUGUGAAGACUUCAGCAGAGCCCUUGACUCCAAAAGGAAGAAAAACUUCAGUAGUCGGAAGUAGACGUGCAGCUGCAAGAAGUAAGCAGCAUCAUGUUCAGCAGCGUCAGCAGUGGAUUUAAAGCAGCAAACAAAACCGAUGCAUGGAAUGGAAUUACUCAUGAAAAUGGGAAAAACACUGACCCCAUCUCUGAGACACUUGGAGAAAUUAAUGAAAUUGACUGAACAAAAAUAAAGCUGUGCACCGAAA